UACAGAGGUCUCAAGCGUUGUUCGGAUUCAUUGGGCGUAAAGGGUGCGUAGGCGGCGCGGUAAGUCGGGUGUGAAAUCUUGGAGCUUAACUCCGAAACUGCAUUCGAUACUGCCGUGCUUGAGGACUGGAGAGGAGACUGGAAUUUACGGUGUAGCGGUGAAAUGCGUAGAUAUCGUAAGGAAGACCAGUGGCGAAGGCGGGUCUCUGGACAGUUGUUGACGCUGAGGUGCGAAAGCGUGGGGAGCAAACAGG
rnacentral:rRNA from 1 species